rnacentral:lncRNA from 1 species
CCGGUCCAUGAAACUAGAGUCCAAAGAACUAACACUAGAAACCGCGUUGUCCAAAGAACUAACACUAAAAACCGUGCUAGUCGGUGCGGGUGUCUUAUAACUAGGUGGUUCGAGUCCCUCAAAUGAAUAUAUGAGUGGGUGGAUUGAAUCCCUCAUGUUGUAUACAUUGGUGCUAUAUCACCUUGAUUAUAACAGGAGGUUCGAGUCCCUCACAUAGGCAUUUAUGGUUAUGGAUAUUCUUUGGUCCAAACGGCUAAACACACUAGGCCCUUCCAGCUAGGGGAGAGUUAGGCCCAUAUAUCCCGUGGGAGCCUUGUUUUAUGACGGUUAUGCUACACAGCCAACUUAAUGUUUUUAAAGUUCAUGCUAAUCUUGU